GACCGCGUAGCUCAGUUGGCAGAGCGUUGGGCUAGUAUUCCAAAGGUCGUAGGUUCGAAUCCCACCGUGACUA
rnacentral:tRNA from 1 species